UCCAACUUCCAACAGUAUGUAAACUCUAUUUUCCUUCUUGGUUCGGGCCACUCAGAGCUUAUCAGCUAAACAGAGCAAAGACUUAACAUCAAACUUUGUGAAAGUUGCAUAGGAAGAAGAUUCAAGACGCAAACAAAUCCUGGGGAAGUGAAGUCUGGUGACUGAUACAUAGGUUGAUGGAUUAAUUCAACAUCCCAUUAGUUUGACGGAUUAAUUCAAAAUUCUUAUGAAAUGGGUUGCCGUACCUCAAAGAAAGAACCCAAGUAUUAAAAUCUGGCUUGUUGGAGGAUCAUGUUGUUCUUGCUUCUAAAACUCCUAUGAUCAUUGCCAGAGAAGAUGGAUCCUACACACAGAUGAUAGGCCACGUAGUAUACCAGUGUAUAAUGCAUACUUUUAUUGAAGCUGACAAGAUCGAAAACAGCCCAGUUUUCACUGUGACAACCUGAGAUUUCUCAGCAAUCAGCAUCCAUAUAUCAAGCAAGCAGCAAGCGAUGUGUAUAAGUGGGUAUCUUCAACAUUCUCCAUUAUGGAACCUAGUCUAUGAUUGGUUCUAAGUAGAAUGUUUGUCUCUCUGCCUUUUUUGUUCAAGUUUCCCGAUUUGAAAGGGAUUAAUUGCCUACUCAUAUUGAUUAGUGUUAAGGGGCUUUUGUUUUUUUCUUUUGCAAAAAAGAGGAAAGGAAGGGAUUCCUUGAGGGUAUAUUGAAGUUCAAGUUCGCCCGGUGGAUAUAUUGUAUUUUUGGUUUGUGCUUUUGCUUAAACAUCAAGAGGACAAAGAUGGGGAAGAAGAAAGGGUUAGCUUGUAAGGCUCUGACUUUUUCUUUCUUUCUUUGGUGAAUAAGGCUAUUGACCUUUUCAA